GAUGAACGCUGGCGGCGUGCCUAAUACAUGCAAGUCGAGCGAACAGACGAGGAGCUUGCUCCUCUGACGUUAGCGGCGGACGGGUGAGUAACACGUGGAUAACCUACCUAUAAGACUGGGAUAACUUCGGGAAACCGGAGCUAAUACCGGAUAAUAUAUUGAACCGCAUGGUUCAAUAGUGAAAGACGGUGUUGCUGUCACUUAUAGAUGGAUCCGCGCCGCAUUAGCUAGUUGGUAAGUUAACGGCUUACCAAGGCAACGAUGCGUAGCCGACGUGAGUGGGUGAUCGGCCACACGGGAACGGAGCCACGGUCCAGACUCCUACGGGAGGCAGCAGUAGGGAAUCUUCCGCAAUGGGCGAAAGCCUGACGGAGCAACGCCGCGUGAGUGAUGAAGGUCUUCGGAUCGUAAAACUCUGUUAUUAGGGAAGAACAAAUGUGUAAGUAACUAUGCACGUCUUGACGGUACCUAAUCAGAAAGCCACGGCUAACUACGUG
rnacentral:rRNA from 1 species